CCUACGGGAGGCAGCAGUGGGGAAUUUUGGACAAUGGGCGAAAGCCUGAUCCAGCAAUGCCGCGUGAGUGAAGAAGGCCUUCGGGUUGUAAAGCUCUUUUGUCAGGGAAGAAACGGUGGGAGCUAAUAUCUCUUGCUAAUGACGGUACCUGAAGAAUAAGCACCGGCUAACUACGUGCCAGCAGCCGCGGUAAUACGUAGGGUGCAAGCGUUAAUCGGAAUUACUGGGCGUAAAGCGUGCGCAGGCGGUUUUGUAAGUCUGAUGUGAAAUCCCCGGGCUCAACCUGGGAAUUGCAUUGGAGACUGCAAGGCUAGAAUCUGGCAGAGGGGGGUAGAAUUCCACGUGUAGCAGUGAAAUGCGUAGAUAUGUGGAGGAACACCGAUGGCGAAGGCAGCCCCCUGGGUCAAGAUUGACGCUCAUGCACGAACGACGGUGGGAGGACGAAACGAGGAGUAGUACUACCUACGGUAGUACCGUACCGACCCGUAACCGACUGUCUACUAGUUGUUCGGUUCGUUACUUGUACGUUGGUACG
rnacentral:rRNA from 1 species